AUGGGCGCCAGCCUCUUCAGAGGGUUCAUGGAGACCAGGUUCCCCAAGCGGCGUCCAGGAUUCGUGUCCCGGCGCAAGAGGGCCAGCCUGCGACCCAAAGGUCCACACUACUGGGUGAAGUGCAUGCCGGGGGAGCCUAUCCCUUCGAGCCAGCCGAAUGAGGGCAGCGUACAGGGGAGGAAGGAGAAGAAGCGGAUCAAGCAGCGCAAGGACUUUAUCAUGGCUGAGAAGAGGAAGCGCAAAGCACAGUAUUCUGUUGCUGUGAAGAGGAAGGAGGCAGAACGGACGGAAAGAAAGAUGGCCGCCGUGGCAAGAGACCGGGCAUGGGUGGAAAGGCUGGCAGAGCUAAAACAGAUGGAGGCAGAAAAGAGAGCUGCAAUGGCUUGA
rnacentral:rRNA from 1 species